AUGCCCACCCCCCAGCAGGUCAGGCGGCGCGACGGAGGCUUCCCAAGACCCAGCAGCCCCCACCUCCAAGGGCAGGCUCUGCCCCUAGCAGGGAGGAGAGCGGGGAGCAAGGGGCCAGGGCCACCACCUUUUGUUAGCAGAGUGUCGCCCCCUUGGCAACCACGGCCUGCCAGCCCCUGUCCUUAGGGAAAAGACCCCUGGUACUGACAGAUGCCCCUUGUUGCUAGCGCUUGUCACCCCGCAGUAUGGUGAACUGCCCCCUGUCGCUAGGAAAAGGUGGUAACUUAGCAACCCUGUGCCAACCCUCUGUUGCCACGUAAGUGUCACCCCCCAGAACCAGAUUGUUCCUGCUUGCUGGGGAUGCCAUCCUUUGCUAGUGGUGGGUCACCCUCUGUUGCUAGGGAAACGGUUCCCUAGCAACAGAACGCCACUAUUUGCUAGGGAAGCAGGAUCCCUAGCAACAGUAGUUCACCUCCUUUUUGCCAGAAGUUUUGCUCUGUUGCUGCAGAUAUGGCACCCCCUGCACUGCCCCUUUGUUGCUAGGAGCUAGCACUGCUCCAGCCCGUGGGAUGUCGUCACGUAGCAGCCCUCAGCAGCCCUCUGCAAGGAAAUAGCAAUUUCCAAUCCCUGACCAGUGCUGUUCCCCAGCAGAGGGCACGCCAUUCCUACCAACUACAGUGUCACUGUUGCUAAGGAAGCCAAACCUCCCCCUGGAAACUACGGGUUGACCCUGGUUGCCAGAGAGGCUCCACCCCCUAGCACCUGCAUUGCUAGGCAAGUCGCACGGCCAUAGCUGUGGACUCUCCUGUGGCUGAGGAAGUAUUGCCCCCGUGUUGCUAGGGAAAUGGCACCCCCGGCAACCAGGAGUAGACUGCCCUUGUGUUCCUGGCAGCUGCAGUCAGCUUUCCCUCAGGGGCUUGGACUGCGGCUGGGGGAACAGCCUGUUGAUGUAAAUGAUGAACUACUACUCCCUGCUAGGGUUGUCCCCUAGUCGUCACAAACUGCCAUUCUGUUGUGGGGGGUAGUGACACCCCCACGUGACUUUGUUACCACUGCCCUAAUAACCGUGCCCUGACCUCCAGCUGCUAGAGAGAGGAUGUCCCCCUAGUAAAGCCAAGCAGGAAUUGAAGGUUUUUCUAAAUCUGCUCGGUCCUCACCCCUAAAGGAUGGCUCCCCUCCCGUCAUCAGACGCCACCAAGGCUUCAUAUGGGCCAGUGUUUGCCACUGCUGGGGCUGUCGACACCAGUGAUGAGGGAGCCACUGUAUUGCUAGAGGCGACACUUCUCCGACAGUCACUGCGACCAGGAAAAAAGCCCCUUUCUAAAAGCCUUUCUAAAUAUCCUAGGCCUUGUUGCUAAGGAAUGCCUUUUCCUUAGCAACAAAGAUCAUGGGGACCCCACUGGUGCCUGGAACAUCUCCCUAGCAACCGUGAAGCACCUUGUUAUUAGGGAUGAUAACCACAACUUCCCUGGCAACUGCAGUGUUCCACAAUUUAGAAGGGACCAUCCUUGAAGGCUUCUCCGAAUAUACUGAGCUUGGUUGCUACAGGACUCAUAGCUUAGCAACUAUAGCCCUUCAAGGCUUUUCAUGGCUGUGGCAGGCCCCAUUAGGUACCAAAAGAAGAAGAACCCCAUUGUCAGUGAACUGUAGCACCCGGCCCACCCAUCUUCCCCCCCUGCAGGCACCCCCGGCCACCCUCCCUUGUUGCCCUAGCAACUCUGACAGCCAGAGGGCCAUUGCCUGGCCAGGAUCCCUUCCUUAGCAUCUGGGGCUGGGACACUAGCAGGCGUUGGGAGCGGGCCUGGCUGAGCUGCAUGUCUGUCCCCCACCCUCAUCCUCCACCCCCCCAGUCCGGAGAAGGCGGCUUCCUUGGAGUAUGACUAUGAGACCAUCCGCAACAUCGACUGCUACAGCACAGAUUUCUGCGUGCGGGUGCGCGAUGGCAUGCGGUACUGGAACAUGACGGUGCAGUGGUGGCUGGCGCAGUAUAUCUACAAGAGCGCACCUGCCCGUUCCUACGUCCUGCGGAGCACCUGGACCAUGCUGCUGAGCGCCUACUGGCAUGGCCUCCACCCGGGCUACUACCUGAGCUUCCUGACGAUCCCGCUGUGCCUGGCUGCUGAGAGCCGGCUGGAGUCAGCCCUGCGGGGGCGGCUGAGCCCAGGGGGCCAGAAGACCUGGGACUGGGUGCACUGGUUCCUGAAGAUGCGCGCCUAUGACUACAUGUGCAUGGGCUUCGUGCUGCUCUCCUUGGCUGACACACUUCGGUACUGGGCCUCCAUCUACUUCUGUAUCCACUUCCUAGCUCUGGCAGCUCUGGGGCUGGGGCUGGCUUUAGGUGGGGGCAGCCCCAGCCGGCGGAAGGCAGCAUCCCAGCCCACCAGCCUUGCCCCGGAGAAGCUCCGGGAGGAGUAAGCUGUCACGACGCCCCCUCUGCCAGCUGGUCCUGGGAAUUCUGUGAACCAGGUUGCUGUCUCCUCCCCAGAAAGAGUCCUUACCUUGGAGAGGGUCCUGGAGAGAAUUUCCUCUUCCCCAGCUAAAUACCCUGCCUGCAACUGAAGCAGACCCGGGGGUGUCCUCCCUGCCCUCUGCCCAGGGGCCACCUCCACUCCUACAAAAUCAAAGUAUUGUCCAGACAAGAGUCACUGGCCCCUGCUCCAGCUUCUGGGUAUCCAGCGAGCACUGCACUUCCCCAAAACGGAAGGGGCCCCUGGGCAGUGGGUUUUGGGCAAAUCCCCUUUCUUUGCAUCCACAAUGUGGGGUUGGAGCUUGGGGGCAGGUCCUGGGAGUGGGAAGCCUCUUCCUUGUGUCUUUCACUCCACUUUUAGCUCAUCGCACCAAUAUUGCAGACUUGGAAGGAAGCAUAAGCUUCCCAUUUCACAAAGGGGAAACUGAGGUGCGAAUGCGCAGGCCUGGGGACGGCUGUCCCAUGGCUUCCAUCUGAGCCACCUCGGGGCCCCAGCGCUCCUGGCACCCUCUUUUCAUUGCUCGGCCUGUGACAGGUCACCAUGUGUAAAUCUUUCCCAAUAAAGUGUUGCAC
rnacentral:sRNA from 1 species